UACGGGGGGGGCAAGCGUUGUUCGGAAUUACUGGGCGUAAAGGGCUCGUAGGCGGCCAACUAAGUCAGACGGGAAAUCCCUCGGCUUAACCGGGGAACUGCGUCUGAUACUGGAUGGCUUGAAUCCGGGAGAGGGAUGCGGAAUUCCAGGUGUAGCGGUGAAAUGCGUAGAUAUCUGGAGGAACACCGGUGGCGAAGGCGGGUCUCUGGGCCGUAACUGACGCUGAGGAGCGAAAGCGUGGGGAGCGAACAGG
rnacentral:rRNA from 1 species